rnacentral:rRNA from 1 species
CAGCAGCCGCGGUAAUUCGGAGGGUGCAAGCGUUAUCCGGAUUCACUGGGUUUAAAGGGUGCGUAGGCGGGCUUGUAAGUCAGUGGUGAAAGCCCGGGGCUCAACUCCGGAACUGCCAUUGAUACUGCAGGCCUUGAGUACAGUUGAGGUGGGCGGAAUACAUCAUGUAGAGGUGAAAUUCUUAGAUAUGAUGUAGAACACCGAUUGCGAAGGCAGCUCACUAAAGUGUAACUGACGCUGAGGCACGAAAGCGUGGGGAUCAAACAGGAUUAGAUACCCUGGUAGUCCACGCCCUAAACGAUGUUCACUCGACAUUAGCGAUAUACUGUUAGUGUCUAAGCAAAAGCGUUAAGUGAACCACCUGGGGAGUACGUCCGCAAGGAUGAAACUCAAAGGAAUUGACGG